rnacentral:misc_RNA from 1 species
UCCGAGUUGACCCCGGCAGUCUCCCACGAGUCCCCGCCAUUACGCGCUGGCAACAUAGGAUAAGGGUUGCGCUCGUUGCGGGACUUAACCCAACAUCUCACGACACGAGCUGACGACAGCCAUGCACCACCUGCACACAGGCCACAAGGGAACCGACAUCUCUGCCGGGAUCCUGUGCAUGUCAAACCCAGGUAAGGUGGGGAUGACGUCGGAGGAAUUCCA